CGUAACUGUUCAACCCUGUCCCCCACUUCUGAUAUUCUGGAGAAUUGGCGAGAAUAAAAGGGGGGAUUUUUUUCCUUCCUUUUUCUCUUGCCGAGGGAAGCCCGCCGCCAUUUUGGAUUGCGUAGCUGUUUUGCAAAAUCCGAGGGAAGGAGAAAGGAGGAAUGCUUGUUAGUCUUCAUAGGGAUAUCAAGAUGAUGGUUCAAUCUUGUAUGUUAACGGCACCCGAAGGCCCUCCUUAAGCAGUCGACGACUUGUGACGAGAAAUUGUCAUUCGUGGCCAGAAGCGUCGAGGAAGCUUGGCUUGACUUAAUUGGAACCGAUGCCAGGAAAUCGUUCUCUCCAAGAUAUCUGGACUGGCGUUGUCUUCUUAUCUACAAAGGCCCUCCAUCUCUCUCCUUGUCUUAUCGAACGUCGAGUGUCUAAGAAUACACGAGUGAUUCAAAGGGCAGACUUUUACAAAUGCGUCUAAUUUGUCCACCCGAGUAGGCGAGAGUUCUAAUUAGGUGUGGACAAGCUGCGGAGAGACCAAAAGAAUUCACCAUCCUCUCUUCUGAAGCUAACGGCACUCUCCGAUACCGUGUGCCAAAGUGCAUUAGGCAGAUAACAAGAAGUACCGAAUUAAUUUACUAGAGCGACGCUAAGAGAGCACCAAAGAGGGUGCAUCUGAAAACCGUAAGGAAUUCUUCAAUGAAGAUAAAUAAUUCAAGACUCACUGUGAUUACAAUUGAUACAUGCCAUUCAACAUUUACACUCAAUGAAGGUUAAUGAUCAUUCUCAAUAAAGAAUGAAACGAAACAAAUAAAAAAUGUAGACUUAACGUCAAGGAACAAGAAUUCAACAAACUCAACAUGAACCCUCGAUUCUAAAGGCACACCGAUUGAAAAUUGUUAAUCGGCUCAGGUCCGUUCCCCGAUCUCAAAAUGCAGGUCACGUUCAAAAAGCUGUACAGCGGUUCCCCUUUAAUAAAAUUGCGGAGAAUCCCCCCGCCGACUUUAA